rnacentral:rRNA from 1 species
CUACGGGUGGCAGCAGUUAGGAAUAAUCUACAAUGCGCGAAAGCGUGAUAGUUUGAGCCAGAGUGCGUUCCAUUCGGAAUGCUUUUGCCAAAUGUAAAAAGUUUGGCGAAUAAGGACUGGGUAAGACGAGUGCCAGCCGCCGCGGUAAUACUCGCGGUCCAAGUCGCAGUCAUUUUUAUUGGGCCUAAAACAUCCGUAGCUUGCUUUGUAAGUCCCUUGUGAAAUUUUAUGUCUCAAGCAUGAAGCGGGCAAGGGGUACUACAAAGCUAGAGACUGGGAGACGCAGGAAGUAUGUUCAAAGUAGCGGUAAAAUGUGUUAAUCUUGAACAGACUAUCAAUAGCGAAGGCAUCCUGCGAGAACAGUUCUGACAGUAAGGGAUGAAAGCUAGGGGCGCAAAUGGGAUUAGAUACCCUUGUAGUC